rnacentral:rRNA from 1 species
AUGGAUUACCAGUGAGCGGCGGACGGGUGAGUAACACGUGGGCAACCUGUCCUGGAGUCGGGGAUAACAUUUGGGAACAGAUGCUAAUACCGCAUAAUAAUCAAAACCACAUGGGUUUUGAUUUCAAAGAUGGCUUCGGCUAUCACUCCAGGAUGGGCCCGCGGUGCAUUAGCUAGUUGGUAAGGUAACGGCUUACCAAGGCGAUGAUGCAUAGCCGAGUUGAGAGACUGAACGGCCACAUUGGGACUGAGACACGGCCCAAACUCC